UGGCUCUCGCAUCGAUGAAGAACGCAGCGAAAUGCGAUAAGUAAUGUGAAUUGCAGAAUUCAGUGAAUCAUCGAAUCUUUGAACGCACCUUGCGCUCCUUGGUAUUCCGAGGAGCAUGCCUGUUUGAGUGUCUUGAAGUCAUCAACCCCUCCCGUUUGUGUGCGGGGGCUUGGGUUGGAGCUGGGGGCCUGCGUCCGUGAGGCCGCUCCCCCCAAACGCAUUGGCUGGGCCUGCGGGUCGUACUCGGUUGGGCGUUGUACCAUCCUCGCUCGCAUCCGAGAGGUUCCCCACAUUAAGUGGUCCUCCCAUCGGCUGCCCCUCGUGUGGCUGCCAACAUGCUUCUUUGUGAUCUGACCUCAAAUCAGGUAGGACUACCCGCUGA
rnacentral:misc_RNA from 1 species